CUCGGUUGCCGGUCUCAAUGAGCGCGGGAUGUGCGCGGGGCUGCGGUGCUCUGCGUUGUGGGGAGCAUACAGAGGGGACGGGGGAUGUGGGCGGGCGGAGUGUGCGGGUGAGUGUCGGCGGUGCGGAGGUGCUCCCGGUGUGUGAGUGCAUGUGUACCUUCUGUGUGUAAGGAUGCGCCGUGCACACGUGUGUGUAAUGUGUGCCUGUGUCCCUCUGCGAAUGCUUGCUUGUACCUUUUUAUGUGUGUGUGUAUUUGGGUGUGCAUGUGUGCGCUGUGUGUGCAUGUGUUGCUGUGUGCUGCUGUGUGGGCGUGGGCGUGUUCGUGAUCAAUGUGUGGGUGCGUGUGUGCCUGUCUGUAGUAUCUUUGUGUGCUUCUGUGUAUUGUGUGCACCUGGGCAUGUCAGUGUGCGAAUGUGUAAUCCUCUGUGAGUGUGUGUGCAUACAUGGCUUGAGCAUGCAUUUUUUUUCUAUGUAUGUGUGUGUAACUGCAUGUGUUCUGACAUCUGUGGACAUAUGCGUAACUUAGUGUGAACACAUGCUUUUGUCUUGCACAUGCGUGUAUGUGUGCAUGUGUGUACACAUGCAUGCUUAUGUAUGAGUGCACAGAUAUACUCUUAAGAGGAUUGGUGGUAUACAUGAAUGUGUGAGCUUGGAAGUUUGGUGGGCACUCAAGAAGCAUGAGUAUUUGUGUGUGUCACCAUCCCAGGGUUUUGCAUUUGUCCAUACUACACAGUGGUGUGUUUUUUGUAUGUGUAUGGAGUGUGUGCAUGCAGAAAUGUAUGCCCUGAUUCAGAACUGUUGUGAACAGGCACUUGGAUGUGGAGUGAAGCUUUCUCUAUGUAUUUGUAGGUGCAUAUAUGAAUUUGUAUGAACAUGUAUUUAUCUGCAUAUGGAUUAUAUAUGUCCAGUAGUACAGCAGAGCCAUAGGAAUAGAACUAGAGGAACAUGGAAGAGUCAUGAUUCAUUCCUAAGGCAUUCAAUCCUAAGAUGUGAAAGAGGAAAUUUGCAUUACAAGUGUUCACCCGUGGUUACAAGGGGAGUAGUAUGUGCCUGUCCUCCACCCUCAUUUACUUCCCUGCUCUGUUUCAGUGGGACCAUCAGCCUUUAUUAGAGACUGGCCUCACAAAUGGCUUCCUGUACUUGUCUUUCUAACUGCAAGACUGUGUGUAGCUGCUGUGGGUAAGGUAUAGCUGAAGUUAGGACACUAACUAACCCCAUUUGAUCCAUACUGGUUUGUCUAUCAUGGAGAAACAAAAAUAUGUAUUUUUCUACCUUCUGUACAGUCUGCAGCCUUCUCUUGCAGACAGGUACAUCUUGGAGGGUGACUGACAAAACUGAGGCUUGGUGGGCCUGUUCCCUUCCUCCACAGCAGCCCAGGAAUGUGGUUUCACAGGAGUUACAAGCCCUGAGCUUCUCUUAAGGGCAGUGCCACAUUAGGAUCCAACAAGGCUUUCAGAAUACAACAGGAUUUGCUAUGCAGUGAUUCAUCAAAUGAUUUCCAGAAGAAACUAUGACAUUAUCCUACAAUAACCGGCCUCUGUGUCACUCUUACUUGGGACAAAUUCUACAAACAGCUUUGUCUUGCUCCCAUGUCAGCAUUUCUCUGAGUUGUUUAUAACCCUGAAGCCUGGGCUGUGUGUCCUGUCUCCUACCAUGCCAUCCAUGCUUGUACUUCUGCUUCUACAGUCACAGUGUACAAGUAUAAGUAAAAAUAAAACAGAAUAUAGCACCACUCACUAGAAAAGCAGAUGUUAUAUAUAAAAAAAAAAAAAAAAAUGUCCAGGCAAGCUGAUGCAAGUGACAUGAAGUAAACCUUGCAAACACUAAUCCUGAGGCUCUGAGAGUAAGUACACAACUACAGUCUGUUACUACCAAUGACGUUCCUGUGCAUACUGGGCUACUGGGGUAAAAAGUCCUAUGCAAACAUAAAUUACAAACCAUACCUGAUAGUAUUCAAGGUAAAAUCAAUUUCAAAGUUAACAAAGGAGACAGAAAACCCUGAACAACAGUGCUCAUGGACCAACCCUGGAGACCCUCAUGGAGAGAGUCGAACUACUGGCAAUUGGGAAUAUGAUGAUUUACUGUGAUGCCCUGCUGUACUUUUAUAACUAUUGUAUUCCGAUUCAUAUUGUAAUGGCACUGAGUAUAAAUUCUAGACAUCUCACAUAAAGUAUGUUCUUUUCAUGCAUUUAAUGAUGUUUUGAGUGCAACACUCAUUUUUUCAAACAAGAAAAAGAAAAUAUUGAUCAUUUAUUUGACUGGAUUUUUUCAGUGAUUAUUCUAUCAUUUUUAGUGCUUACUACAUCAAAAACCUUUUGCAGCAUCUUUCUAAGUCUGCAAUAAUAAGUAAGAUUUAAUCAUAAUCUACUACUUCCAAGUAAGAAUUAGUAUUCAUCAGCUGUUGGGACCUAGUUUUUGACACUUUGAAUUCAACCAUCUAGAGAACACAACCAAUCUCUGAAUUCAGCUCUGUAUUUGUGCUCUGUCUUAUUAUAAACUAAGUUGAAUUAUAUAUUUUAUAUGUAUCCUACUGUACAGUGUGGAAGUCAGAAAUGAUGCCUUCUUAAGGAAUUAUUAUCAGUUGAUUUUGUCAUGUUUGCCUUCAUAAGAAGAAAUAUAAUCAGCAAAUUAAUUGAGAGAUGUCCAAAAUAAAAUAUUUUUAAAUUUGUGCAUUGAAAGUCUAAAGCAAGGAAGAUCAAAUACAAACACCAGAGGCCACAGAAUAACACUAGUAAGAGACAAUUACUACAUCAAGAGACAGCAUUGAUUAUUACAUUUGCCUUUACUUUUAUAAAUUAGUCUCCUUCAUUUUAUAUAUAUUUAUCUUACGUACAAAAAAGUGAAAUGGAAAAUUAAGAUUGAAUACAACUGUCUGUGGAGAAGGUUGGGCAGAGAGGUUGUAAACUUUUCCUCCAUGGAAGAUUUCUAGGCCAGGCCUGGGCUGUUUGAUCUGAUCCUGUGGCUGGUCCUGUCCUGCGAAUGAGGAUGUGCUGGAUAUCUCCAGAGGUCCUUUCCAGUCCCAGCAGGAAACAUACUGGAGCAAGGCAGGCUACUGGGCAAGAAGGGAAAACAGAUUUCAGUCUCUCUGUCAUCAUGUGGGCAGAUGCUUAUUGUGUGGUGGUUCUCUUUAGCCUAUACAUGAUAUAUCAGUUCAGUCUGUAACCUCCUUGAAACAUGGAAUGUGCCUGUUGCCAUUGCACAUCUCCUAGUUUGAUGGGACUAAGAAGCAGGGACUAUUACAAACCAAAUGAAUACAAUACAUUGUUAAGCAGAUAUUAAAUGACUAUUUGGGGAAUAAAUGUUUUUGCAUUGUGAUUCAUAGCAAAUUCUGCCUGUACAAAGUUGUGGUUAUUCCCUCCCAGUUGUAGGACUGUACAUUUGAUCUCGUUGAACCUCAUAAUGUUCCUCUCUACCCAACACUCACCUUGUCCAGGUCCCACUGAAUGGUAUCACAGCCUUCUGGCAUGUUGGACAUUCUUCCCAACUUUGCAUCAUCAGCAAAUUUGCUGAGGGUGCACUCUAUCUUUUCAUCCAGGUCAUUGAUGAAUAUUGUUGAUGUUGUAAUUCAUAAACAAUAUUAUACAUGUGACACAUACAAACUUCCCUCUUUUAGUUUGGAAACGGUUUGACUCUCGUUCAUGGACUGGUAUACUGGCUUUGUAUUCCUGCAGUGCCUGAUUGUUAUCAAAAGAUUUAGAUUGCUUUAUCUCUUAUUUCCACCUAUAUAAACCUUUAUGCUUCUUUUCUUUUUGUCUGCUGGCUGUUACACAGUGCUCAAUGAUGGUACUCUGGUAGGUUAUUUGAUGUAUAGCAGGUGGUUUGGUUUCCAGGUUGUACUUUUGAGUCUGCUUUUCAAUAGUUAUUCACCAUUAAAUGCAACUGAAUAAGA
ensembl:lncRNA